rnacentral:rRNA from 1 species
GUGGGGAAUAUUGCGCAAUGGACGAAAGUCUGACGGAGCAACGCCGCGUGAGUGAUGAAGGUUUUCGGACUGUAAAGCUCUGUUGUUUAGGACGAAAGUGCCUGUUGCAAAUAGUUACAGGUAUUGACGGUACUGAACGAGGAAGCCACGGCUAACUACGUGCCAGCAGCCGCGGUAAUACGUAGGUGGCAAGCGUUGUCCGGAAUUAUUGGGCGUAAAGAGCAUGUAGGCGGGAAUCUAAGUCUGUUGUGAAAAUGCGGGGCUCAACCCCGUAUUGCGUUGGAAACUGGGUUUCUUGAGUGCAGGAGAGGAAAGGGGAAUUCCCAGUGUAGCGGUGAAAUGCGUAGAUAUUGGGAGGAACACCAGUGGCGAAGGCGCCUUUCUGGACUGUGUCUGACGCUGAGAUGCGAAAGCCAGGGUAGCGAACGGGAUUAGAAACCCUGGUAGUCC